UCCACACGACCACAGCAAGCCAGGUACUUGACAGAAGCGCUACUGUUCUUGGGACUAGAGCCAGCAAGGACAUUUUUCUAAGAGGCUCAUCAAGAAGGCCACGUCCUCCAACGAACACCGAAAAGGAAAAUCUAAACUGCACCACCGAGGCUAAGUCAUUUUUACAUACUAAGGUGGGAGAGAAAUGAAACUGCUCUAAAAAUAUUUUAAGGGGUUAGGUCGUCUCUUGAAACUGGUGUCUGCGCUCCACCGACCUACCCAUCUCCCCCAAGGCAAACUGAUCCCAAGGUAGACCGGCUGGAAUUGGCCUCCUGAGCCCUGGAAGUACCUG
rnacentral:lncRNA from 1 species